UACAGAGGUCCCGAGCGUUGUUCGGGUUCACUGGGCGUAAAGGGUGCGUAGGCGGUCGGGUAAGUCUGAUGUGAAAUCUCACAGCUUAACUGUGAAACUGCAUUGGAUACUAUUCGGCUUGAGAGUUGGAGGGGGGACUGGAAUUCUCGGUGUAGCAGUGAAAUUCGUAGAUAUUCGCAAGAACACCAGUGGCGAAGGCGGCUCACUGGCCCGAUACUGACGCUGAGGCACGAAAGCGUGGGGAGCAAACAGG
rnacentral:rRNA from 1 species